rnacentral:rRNA from 1 species
GUAAGGGAUAUUGGGCAAUGGUCGGAAGACUGACCCAGCCAUGCCGCGUGAGGGAAUGAGGCCCUACGGGUCGUGAACCUCUUUUAUUCGGGGACAAGGGCUUCCACGAGAUGGGAGCUUGAGGGUACCGAAGGAAUAAGCGUCGGCUAACUCCGUGCCAGCAGCCGCGGUAAUACGGAGGACGCGAGCGUUAUCCGGAUUCAUUGGGUUUAAAGGGUGCGCAGGCGGCCUGUCAAGUCAGCGGUGAAAGCCCGGGUCCCAACCCCGGAAGUGCCGUUGAUACUGACGGGCUUGAAUGCGGUCGAGGCGGGCGGAACGUGGCGUGUAGCGGUGAAAUGCGUAGAUAUGCCACAGAACGCCGAUAGCGAAGGCAGCUCGCCAGGCCUGCAUUGACGCUCGGGCACGAAAGCGUGGGGAUCGAACAGGAUUAGAUACCCUAGUAGUCC